AUCUCACUGAGGAGUCCCAUACUAAGACGAAACGGCCGUCCAGUGCUUCCAGAU
rnacentral:hammerhead_ribozyme from 1 species